GCCGUAUCUCAGUGGUAAGAGCAUCAGCCUUGCACGCAGAAUGUCUCAGGUUCAAUCCCUGGAAUCUCCA